rnacentral:tRNA from 6 species
UCCCCGAUAGCUCAGUCGGUAGAGCAGCGGACUGUUAAUCCGUUGGUCGCUGGUUCAAGUCCAGCUCGGGGAGCCA